rnacentral:rRNA from 1 species
UACGUAGGGUGCGAGCGUUAAUCGGAAUUACUGGGCGUAAAGCGUGCGCAGGCGGUGAUGUAAGACAGUUGUGAAAUCCCCGGGCUCAACCUGGGAACUGCAUCUGUGACUGCAUUGCUGGAGUGCGGCAGAGGGGGAUGGAAUUCCGCGUGUAGCAGUGAAAUGCGUAGAUAUGCGGAGGAACACCGAUGGCGAAGGCAAUCCCCUGGGCCUGCACUGACGCUCAUGCACGAAAGCCAGGGGAGCGAACGGG